GACGAACGCUGGCGGCGUGCUUAACACAUGCAAGUCGAACGAUGAAGCCGGAGCUUGCUCCGGUGGAUUAGUGGCGAACGGGUGAGUAACACGUGAGCAAUCUGCCCUUGACUCUGGGAUAACUGCGGGAAACUGUAGCUAAUACCGGAUACGACACCUUGGGGCAUCCCAGGGUGUGGAAAGAAUUUCGGUCAAGGAUGAGCUCGCGGCCUAUCAGCUAGUUGGUGAGGUAAUAGCUCACCAAGGCGACGACGGGUAGCCGGCCUGAGAGGGUGACCGGCCACACAGGAACUGAGACACGGUCCAGACUGCUAAGGGAGGCAGCAGUGGGGAAGAUUGGACAAUGGGGGCAACCCUGAUCCAGCAAUGCCACGUGAGUGAAGAAGGCCUUCGCGUUGUAAAGCUAUUUUGUCAGGGAAGAAACACCGGCUCUAACACAGUCCGGGAAUGACGGUACCAGAAGAAUAAGCACCGGCUAAC
rnacentral:rRNA from 1 species